CAAUAGCGUAUAUUAAAGUUGUUGCGGUUAAAAAGCUCGUAGUUGGAUUUCUGCUGAGAACGACCGGUCCGCCCUCUGGGUGUGUAUCUGGCUCUUUCUUGGCAUCUUCUUGGUGAACGUUGCUGCACUUGACUGUGUGGAGCGCUACCCAGGACUUUUACUUUGAGGAAAUUAGAGUGUUUCAAGCAGGCAUACGCCUUGAAUACAUUAGCAUGGAAUAAUAAGAUAGGACCUCGGUUCUAUUUUGUUGGUUUCUAGAGCUGAGGUAAUGAUUAAUAGGGAUAGUUGGGGGCAUUCGUAUUUAACUGUCAGAGGUGAAAUUCUUGGAUUUGUUAAAGACGGACUGCUGCGAAAGCAUUUGCCAAGGAUGUUUUCAUUG
rnacentral:rRNA from 1 species